rnacentral:snRNA from 1 species
AUACUUACCUGGCAGGGGAGUGCCAUGAUCACGAAGGUGGUUUUCCCAGGGCAAGGCUUACCCAUUGCACCCCUGAGAUUUCCCCAAAUGUGGGAAACUCGACUGCAUGAUUUGUGGUAGUGGGGGACUAUGUUCUCACGAUCCCCUG